rnacentral:lncRNA from 9 species
CCUUGCCUCUGAUACCCAUGCAUCUGGAAAGAUAGCUGUGCUGCACCAGAAACAAAACGGUGGCAGCAGUUGGUUGGAGAACAAGGUGGGACGGGGCAGUCGAGGCAGCAGGCUGGUAUCACGGGUCCUUGUCUUGCUGAGAAGAGUCUUAGAAGAUACUCUGAUGCUCACCUCAUGACAGGACAUCAUCAGGGGAGCCAGCACGUAGUUAAGACCCUGCGGUUCUUGUUCUGGAGUUUACACCGCAUCGGAGGAGACAGGAGGACCCCACCCAGGAGGAGAGAAGGUUGGGAGUGGGGGUCCCGGACCUGUGGGGCAGAAGACAAGAGGAAGCUCUUGCUCCCCAAGCAUCACCCCUAUUUCUAGCCCACGUAUGUAUCCUAUGCCUUCCUUCCAAGUUUCUGUACAGAAGCGAGAGAUGUCUUGGGCCCUCUGGAUGCACUGAGACAUUGGAGAAAACAGAUCCAAGAGGUGAGCUUGAAGAGCAGAAAGGGGCUAGGAGGAGUUUGUCUGGGAAAGAACAGACUUAAUUGGCACUAGAGCGCUCCCCUUAUAGAAGCACAGGGAUCUUUGGCUUUAAGAACUAGGGAAGCCUGAUGGGUAGGGCCAGAUUUUUCCAGGCUGGCCACCUCCAGGGGAGCUCACUGAUGAUUAUUCCCUGGGACCUCUGCCUCUGACGUCCUGCCCCCCGCAGUGAGCCACUGCCAAGCCCUGCUUUUCCAGGAUAUCAUCCAAGAUCUAUAGGAUAUUACUCCUUUUAGCUGGCAUUCUGGAAGAGCAUAUCAAAUCCAGAAAAGCCAGGCUCUUUGUUCCUGUCCACAACAACAUGCCCUCUGGAAUAAACAACACAAAGAAAUGGAAGAUGGAGUUUGGUACCCAAGAAAGGCGGGAAAAUCCUUUGAUGGGUGACUCAUGAGCAGCUGAUCCCUUGUCCAACAUGGUUCUAACUUUCAGUAAUAAGAAGAUGCAGUUGCCUUUGCAGAAACAAAACGGAUGGAGCUAAGGGAGAAAGGUUCCAAAACCCAAGUCCAAGUCUUAGGGCGCAAACUUUUCUUGGAACAAAAGAACAAGGGUAUCCACAAAAAAGGUUGGCACUGACUGUAUCCCUGCGCUUGAUUGAGAAUAAAGUCAGCUGUGAAGUUAAAAACAAAACAAAACAAAAACAAAAGCUAGAGGGGACUGGGGAAACUUCCUUGAGGAAGUCUGAGUCAAAGGACAAGUUGCAAGGAAUGUAAGAUGUUCUGUUCACAUAUUUAUAGAUAUAUAUAUAUUUCUUUUUAUGGCUGCAUCUGAGACCUACACCACAGCCAGAGCAGCGCUGGAUCCUUAACCCACUGAGAGAGGACAGGGAUCAAACCUGCAUCCUUACAGACUCUAUGUUGGGUUCUUAACCUGCUGAAGCACAGUGGGAACUCCCCAUUCUUAUACUUGAAAUAGGUAUAAGAAGAUACUCACUGGUAUGGGUGGGGGUGGGAUGGUACAAAAGAUAGCUGGUGUCUUUCUUCAGCUUUUCUCUAGAAUAGGAUCUCCCUGAAACGUACAGAGUCAAGGAAGUUUCUCUUUUGGUUCCUGCCUUUUUUUCUUUUUUCUUUUAAAAAUAAUCUACGUUUGUACCCAUUGUCUUUCUUCCCCUGUGUUUUAUAAGACCGAGGUGUCUUUUAGAACUUGUUUAGUGAGAGUUCCCAUUGUGGUACAGCAGAAGUGAAUCCAACCAGCAUCCACGAGGAUAUGGGUUCGAUCCCUGGCCUUGCUCAGUGCAUUGGGAAUCCAGUGUUGCUGGGAGCUGUCGUGUAGGUUGCAGACACAGCUAGGAUCCCUAAAAGGGUGGGGCCCUAAAAAGAAAAAACAACAACAACAACUUGUUUAGUUUGAAAAGGCAGUUGUUUAUAAUUCUGGGAAUAAAUUUAGACUUUGUGAUGAAAAGACCUGGUGUGCUAAUCUUGACACAUCCCAGAUGAUCUCCUGAGGGCCCGUGGAGUCCAUCCCAGCACAACCCAGAGCAGGAAAAACCUCUCUAUUCAGCAAAGAGGGGAGUUUUGCACCAGGAGGCCUCAGUCCAUGGGUCCUUCCCACCAGGAGGGCCAGAGAGUUGGGAUCCUUGAGAGAGUCUGAGGGUGAAAUGGUGAUGACAUGAAUGUAACUUGCAAAUUUUAAGACUUUUGGUUAGAAUCCAACUUCCAUUUCACAAUGUUUGAAAUGGUCCCUUUAUCUCUGGAUAUGAAAGUUGGGAUGUUUCCUCUUAGAUAAACUUCUUCAUUUAGGGUUGAAUGUUCUCUCCUGUUUCUGCUGUUUCUGCCUGAAAUAUUCUUUUUUUUUUCCUCUCUCUCUCUUUUUUUUUUUUUUUUGUCUUUUUGCCUUUUCUAGGGCCGCUUCCCGCAGCAUAUGGAGAUUCCCAGGCUAGGGGUCGAAUAGGAGCUGUAGCCACCAGCCUAGGCCACAGCCACAGCAACACGGGAUCCAAGCAGCAUCGGGGACCUACACCACAGCUCAGAGCAAUGCCGGGUCCUUAACCCACUGAGCAAGGCCAGGGAUCAAACCUGCAACCUCAUGGUUCCUAGUCAGAUUCGUUAACCACUGUGCCACGAUGGGAACUCCAUCUGCCUGAAAUAUUCUUAGGGCUCAGGUUACCCAGUUAGUUCCCCUCCAGUGAGGUCUGAAUAGCAGUAUUUCUCUCUCACAGGGAUUGGCCUGUGGAUUUUUUUGUUCCUCUAGGUUUAUGGUAGGGAAAAUGCAAUGAAAUUAUACUGAGGCCAUCUGUUCCCUAAUCUAUAUUAAUCUAUUAAUAUAGCUAAUCUAUAUCUAUAAUGAAUCAAUUGUUUAUGUGGCAAUUUGCCAAAGCUAUCAUAAGCCAUGGGACAUUUUCAUUUAGCCUAAAACUGAACUGUUAAAAAUUUAGAAUUUUUUUUUGUUUUUACCCUCUCUCUCAAUCCUAUCCAAGUAGGAUAGACCCUCUCUUCUAUUACCUAUGGGUAUCAUGAAGAAAAGUUCGCCUAUAGUACUGGUUAGUUAAAAAAGAAAAAAAAGUGUUUUAACAGUUUGAUGCAGCUAGUUAGGUAGUGGCAAAUUAUCUGCACAAAGUGUCCUGUUUCUAUCCUUGCUAUGAACUUCAG